GUGAAGAACGUAGCGAAAUGCGAUAAGUAAUGUGAAUUGCAGAAUUCAGUGAGUCAUCGAAUCUUUGAACGCACAUUGCGCCCGCCAGUAUUCUGGCGGGCAUGCCUGUCCGAGCGUCAUUUCAACCAUCAAGCCCCGGGCUUGUGUUGGGGACCUGCGUCCGACGCAGGCCCUGAAAACCAGUGGCGGGCUCGCUGUCCACACCGAGCGUAGUAACUAACCUCGCUAUGGAGUGGCGCGGGCGCCUGCCGUAAAACCCCCAAUUUCACAAGGUUGACCUCGGAUCAGGUAGGAAUACCCGCUGAACUUAAGCAUAUCAAUAAGCGGAGA
rnacentral:misc_RNA from 1 species